rnacentral:tRNA from 1 species
GCGGGGGUGACAGAGCCUGGCCAAAUGUGCAAGGUUGAGGGCCUUGUCCCUUAGUGGGUGCGCGCGUUCGAAUCAGCAUGCAUUCAAUUGCAUGAUGGGAAAGUCGCGUCCCCCGCA